UACGAAGGGGGCUAGCGUUGCUCGGAAUCACUGGGCGUAAAGCGCACGUAGGCGGCUUUCUAAGUCAGGGGUGAAAUCCUGGAGCUCAACUCCAGAACUGCCUUCGAUACUGGAGAGCUAGAGUCCGGAAGAGGUGAGUGGAACUGCGAGUGUAGAGGUGAAAUUCGUAGAUAUUCGCAAGAACACCAGUGGCGAAGGCGGCUCACUGGUCCGGUACUGACGCUGAGGUGCGAAAGCGUGGGGAGCAAACAGG
rnacentral:rRNA from 1 species